rnacentral:rRNA from 1 species
AUGGAACAAUGUAGGCAAGGGAAGUCGGCAAAACGGAUCCGUAACUUCGGGAAAAGGAUUGGCUCUGAGGACUGGGCUCGGGGGUCCCGGCCCCAAACCCGUCGGCUGUCGGCGGAUUGCUCGAGCUGCUCACGCGGCGAGAGCGGGUCACCGCGUGCCGGCCGGGGGACAGACCGGGAAUCGCCCCUUCGGGGGCUUUCCCCAGGCAUGAAACAGUCGACUCAGAACUGGUACGGACAAGGGGAAUCCGACUGUUUAAUUAAAACAAAGCAUUGCGAUGGUCCUCGCGGAUGCUGA